rnacentral:rRNA from 1 species
UACGUAGGGGGCAAGCGUUGUCCGGAAUCAUUGGGCGUAAAGCGCGUGUAGGCGGUUCGGUAAGUCUGCUGUGAAAGUCCAGGGCUCAACCCUGGGAUGCCGGUGGAUACUGUCGGACUAGAGUACGGAAGAGGCGAGUGGAAUUCCCGGUGUAGCGGUGAAAUGCGUAGAGAUCGGGAAGAACACCAGUGGCGAAAGCGCUCUGCUGGACUGCAACUGACACUGAGGGACGAAAGCUAGGGGAGCGAAAGGG